rnacentral:rRNA from 1 species
GAUGAACGCUGGCGGCGUGCCUAAUACAUGCAAGUCGAGCGAACAGACGAGGAGCUUGCUCCUCUGACGUUAGCGGCGGACGGGUGAGUAACACGUGGAUAACCUACCUAUAAGACUGGGAUAACUUCGGGAAACCGGAGCUAAUACCGGAUAAUAUAUUGAACCGCAUGGUUCAAUAGUGAAAGACGGUUUUGCUGUCACUUAUAGAUGGAUCCGCGCCGCAUUAGCUAGUUGGUAAGGUAACGGCUUACCAAGGCAACGAUGCGUAGCCGACCUGAGAGGGGGAGAGGCCACAAGGGAACUGGGAAACGGUACGGACUACUACGGGAGGCAGAAGUAGGGAAUCUGCGGAAAUGGGCGAAAGCUUGAAGAAGAAACGCCGAGUGAGUGAUAAAGGUCUUCGGAACGUAAAACUCUGUUAUUAGGGAAAAAAAAAUGUGUAAGUAACAAUGCACGUCUGGAAGGGACCUAAGCAGAAAGAAACGGCUAACUAAGUG